rnacentral:SRP_RNA from 16 species
AUGGCAUUGCAUGGCAGGGCAGUGCAUACAGCAGAGCAAUGCCCACCGUGCUUUGUGGCAGGGCAGGGCACGCACGCCGC